rnacentral:rRNA from 1 species
GACGAACGCUGGCGGCGUGCCUAAUACAUGCAAGUCGAACGCAGUGGGGACGGGGUAGUAAAAAGUGGGUAACCUCCCAUCAGAGGGGAUAAACCUUGGAAACAGGUGCUAAACCGAUACUGAUGGAUGAACCCGCGGUGCAUUAGCUAGUCGGGGGGGUAACGGCUCACCAAGGCCACGAUGCAUAGCCGACCUGAGAGGGUGAUCGGCCACACUGGGACUGAGACACGGCCCAGACUCCUACGGGAGGCAGCAGUAGGGAAUCUUCGGCAAUGGACGAAAGUCUGACCGAGCAACGCCGCGUGAGUGAAGAAGGUUUUCGGAUCGUAAAACUCUGUUGUUAGGGAGGCGGUACCUAACCAGAAAGCCACGGCUAACUACGUGCCAGCCGCCGCGGUAAUUC